ensembl:lncRNA
GCCAUGUGGCUCGUGCCGGGAGUGAGGACAGCCGAGUUGUAGAGACGCGGUAGGGGGAGAUCGCACAAACCCACACUAACGCUAAUACGCUUCCCCCCAGGACUGAGUUGCAAUGGAGACGCUGUCUCGCAGAGCGCUCAGAGAGCAGAUGUUCUCGUGUGGUAACAUCUCCCUCUGCUGUCCACAUCCGCUCACUACACACAGAGGGACGCAAGAUCACACGUGACUUCCUUUUCACCAACUUGACGUCAAACAGUAGUAACGCACGCACACGCACAGUAUGAAUAAAUCAGUCAAAUCAGACUCAUCCCUUUAAUUAAAAUGAGGGAGGUCAUUUAAGAUCAAACACGGAGCUGAAAUAGCCUCUCACUUGUUACCAAGGCGACCAGAGGGCGCCGAACCUGCGUUGAGUUUUACUAAUUAGCUCCCCUGCCGCAGCUGGCCUGCCAAGUGGUUUUCUUAAUUAGUUAAUUGGUUGCAUCUGGUGCGUUUCACUUAAGAGGGAACCGGACACUACGUUGGUGUCCUCCACUGUUAGGUGUCCUCCACUGUUUGGCCUCCUCCACUGUUUGGCCGUGUAGCCUCUCCCAAACGCGGUUAAAGACUUUUUGAAGUAAAGAGGAGCAUCUCAUCUGAACCUUAUGACUAUCAUGGAUAUUUAACUGCAGUUCUGUGAGUAUCCCAACUUAACCAUCAAGAUGAACUGUAAACUGUAAGUCAUUAGUUUCUUAUUACUCUUGGGCACAUUGAUGUAUGUUGGCUUCCUGGUGAGUUAACCCGUUACCUGAAGGUUGAUCUGAGUAGUAAGGAUGUUGUAUUGUUUCAUGGGUUACUUAGGUGUUUGGUUUAUGUUGGUUUUAUUUGUUGAAAUGGUUACAGGCUCCAAAUUAUUGUUGUAAGCUGGAGUAAUGGGUUGGGUUCUGAUAUCUUCAGUCUUCUUUCAUGCUACUCUCCUGAGCUCUGCAUCUUCAUCACAUGAGUGUUGCUUUACUAAUGAGGAUGUGGUCUGAGUGAGCAGAGGUGCAUACUGGGAUACAGAGCUGUCUGAAGUCUACAGGGAUUCAGAAGGAGAAACACCAGGGGGAGAUGAGGGGGCUCCUCAUCUCAACGACUAAAACACAACUUCAGUCUGACACAGAGAACCAUGGAACACAUUCAACAGUCCCCUCCAGGCAUCGUGACUCCUCAGGAACAGUUCAAUUUCCAAGAAGGUCUUAUUUGGGGACAUCCCCAUAUGGAUCCUGCUCCUCAAGAGCCACCCCCCUCCACUGGGUGGUCUUCUGAACAGAUGACCUCCUUCCUGUCCUCAGGCUGACUAAAGCUGCACCGUUUGCAUCUGUGAAGGCCCCUCAAUCAGGAAACCACUGGACAACAGACAUGACUUCAGAGACGUUGAAUCAACCUGGGACACAUUUUGGAGACGCCAAGCAUAAUCCAUCACCAAUGUGGGACGCCACUGAAGAAUUUUGUUCAUAAUUUACGUCUCUGGAGACUGAUUGUUCUGUUCUGGGUGCCCUGGCAGGAGAGCUGGGGGUGGAUGAUGGAAUGUUAUUUGCUAUGAGGUUUUUACCCUGCAUGAUUGUUUUGCCAUUUAUGGCUCAGUGGUGUGUGUGUUUGGGUUUGACAUGAGAUGGAUGAUUUUUGAGCAUCACUAGGGUUCUACUGUGUGUGUGUGUCUCUCCCACUCACACCUGGCAUGGGGUUCUACGUGCCUGUCCUGGGUUCUAUGUGUGUGUGUCCGGCUUGCUUUGACAGUGAUAAUGUUCAUACGGGGUCUGUGUGAUUGGCUUGGGAUAUUGGAAUGGUCAACUAAAUCAUACCUGAUGGACGGCCACACGUUUACUUGAAGGCCUCCAGGAGACAUGAAGAGCCCAGAGCGACGCUCCGGAGCGAUAUCCAACACACUGGGCAGGAAGAGUAUCCAAAUCAAGUGUAAAAGGAUGCAAGCAGCAUGUUCAGAUCAGUGACUUCAAACUAGGACUACACCAAUCAGGAUCAAUGGAGGAUGGACACCCAAAGGAAUUCCACAAGGAGAGUCUGACAUUGGAAAGGGACCUAAAUGGAUAUUCAAGAUGACCUUCAGUUCUGUAAUGAGACGGCUCUUCCUACCUGGCUGGAUUGAUGGAGAGCCCUGUGGAUCUUGUCUUGCCCUCAGUUGCACGUCUUCUCAGGCUGAACUGUAUUUGUUUCGGACAGGACUAGCUGAACGAUUGGUUCCCUUAAAUCAGAACCAAUCUGGGAACUCCAACUAGUGCGCUCUUCGAGCUGAAGUUGUGCUCUUCAGCUGAGGAGGUAAGGAAACCUUCACUGGGGCUUCAAGGUGUAAAGAGGAGAAUGUUUCAAAGUGUUCCAUGGUGCUCUGAUGAAGACCGUUGUUGUGUUCCACUGGCUGAGAGGAAGAACCCUCACAUCUUCCUCUUGGCCUUCCUCCUCUGAGAAUCUUGGCGCCAUCUUGAAGGAUAUUCCAGCUCAUGUAACUGAUGUCACGACAGAUUCUCAAACACUUGGUUUCUCCUGAGGGGCGUGUCUAUAGAACUGAAGACUUCAGACAGCACUGUAUCCCAGCAUGCAUCUCUGCUUACUCAGACCACACCCCCAUGAGUAGGAUGCAACACUCUAGCGAUGGAGUCGUAGAGUUUUAUAAGUAACGCGGGAGCAGACAAAGGUGAUUAGAACACAAUGGCAUGUCAAGUCUGUAAAUCUUUAAACCAUGGAGAUGGUUGGAUAGUUCAGGAAUUGGGCUUCUUUUUAUUAUGGGCAGUCCUUUGACUCAGAUGCCCACUUCUCACUGGACCUGUACAUGUGUUGGCUGGCUGGCAUGAUUUGCUGUUGGUGAUGAGGCGGUCUGGGUGACGUUGCAGGGCUAUGGUCGGCUCUCUGUGAGCUCAAUGUUUAGAUUUGCUCUGUAUGGUUUGUACCCUGAAUAAUCUAGAUAAUUGUAAAAUGUAGACAUGGUUUUGUAUUGAAUGAUUCCAGGAUUUUAGGUUUAAAGUUGUUGUGGGACGUACAUGGUAGUUUGGUUCUUCGUACGGUUUUGAGUGAUAUAACUUGUACACACUGGGUGCAUAAUAAUGUAAAGGUACACUGAAUAGUAGUAUUGACCAACAGCAACAAACAGAUCUCCUCAAGGUAAGUCUGUUGGCUGUGUUUUAUUGAAGACCAUCGCUGGACUUCAGGAUCUUCCUCCGUUCAGCUCAAGGUGAGGCGCUGGUUCUGUUUUUUCUUUGGUUGGUUCCGGCCGGAAUGUUCGGAUUCCGGUCGGACGGUUUGUGCUUCCCGCCGUGGAAGAUUCUGAGUGUGGUCACUUGAUUUAGUCCCAAUGGUUAGCAUAGAAUGUUGUAGUCUUGACAACCAUAAGAACCCACCUGGCAGUUAGUUGGACGGGAGUCCCCUGAGGGAAUCUGGCGGAGAGUUCUGGAUUGUAUUUGCGUAACCUCGAGUCGUUGUCAACGGAAACAAUUUUUCAGUCGUUUCCAUUGGGAAUUGUUGCCCCUUAUCUUAAAAAACGUACGUUUGAUAUUAAAUACAUACUGACACGUACGUCGUACAAUAUGUUGAUAAUUUCCGAUGGUUGCGCCGUACUUUUAACCACGAUGACGUUACGGGACUCUCGCUGCAUACAAAACAGCGUUCUACUUGCGACUCAUUUUUGACAUCGGUGAAGGCUGAAAAUCAUUUCAAGGUGGAAGACAAUUUGACAUUUCUUCAACGGAACCCAGCACCUGAAUAUGGCUGAGUAUAUUUGAUUUAAUAUAGAUACUGCUUAGUGUCCUUUGUUACUUGAGCUUUUGUACGUUCUAAAUAUCUGCUGUCAUUAAUUGCCACAGAAGUUAAACCCUACCCAAUGGAAUGACGUUAAACAACGACUUUGGUGCAGAGUUACCAAGCUGGUUAAUAUCAAAGCUAAAAUAAUGACUGUCCUUCCCACAUGUUACAGUAGAAGAUACUCUAGAACUGUACAAGGUUGAAAAGGUAACAUGUUUGUCCCAGGGUGUCUGCCUCCUCACCCAGAGCCAGACCUCCACCUCCUCACCCAGAGCCAGACCUCCACCUCCUCACCCAGAGCCAGACCUCCACCUCCUCACCCAGAGCCAGACCUCCACCUCCUCACCCAGAGCCAGACCCCUACCUCCUGUCGGAAGUCCUCCAGAACCGCUGAAAGGCGAGGCUGAGAGGCUGAGGACCGGAGGCUUGUGGUGCCAGGGUGGACCGGAGACUGAGGCUGGAGACCAGGGGCCUACAGCACCGGACCAGAGGACCAGGAAUCCAUGUCUGACGGAGUUGAUGGAGGAGUCGUGCUGAAGGCCCUGCCUGGUGGAGGAGCUGGUGGAGGCCCUGCCUGGUGAAGGACGUCUGUCGUGGGAUGCGAGCUGGUAGGGGAGCCGUGAAUCUGGAGGAUGACCAUCACUCUACCAACAAGGAUUGAAUCUGGAGGACUGAUGGAGAAGCCGUACAUCUGGAAGGCCAAUCCUGAGGACAACCAGGACUCAACCAUCAAGGAUUCCUCUCCGGGCAGACACACCUGAGCUGAAGCCGCCCUGAUCCUGACAUCCUGCUGGUCCCGUCUCCUCAGUUGAUUUGAGCCUCGUCCUCCAGAAGACCUGCUGAGCUCAGUGGUCUGAGGCUCAUGUAUCAAUGACCUCCAGUGGGAGUGAUCUUCUUGACCCCACAUGUAACCGUGUGCUUCCACACGCCUUUCCCUCACGUCUGUCACUAACCUCACUACUUCACUACUUUCUACUGCUUCCUCUUUUUCUUCCUUCUCUGUGGUUCGAACCUUUACACUGGAGGCGCGUCUCCAUGCCCUCAGAGGGUUCAGCGUUAGGGUUGAGAGUCAGGGUUUAGAGUCAGGGACAGAGCUGGUCAGGGAGGACUGCUUUUACACAAACCUCUUCACUUGCUUUCGGAAUGGUGGUGACAUUUUGAAAAGAUUCAUUUGGGAAAAUGUUUUCCUCUGCUUUCCUUUACGGAAUUGAAUUACACUUCUGUCAAGUGUUUUUGUUUACAUAUUAAAAUCCCACAUUGACUUCUACAUGUUUGGUGCGGUUGAUUUAAUUGUCCUUUAACUUGGUUAAUGUCAAGCUAAACUCCUGCAUUACAUUUAAUAUACAUGAUUGUUAUUCAGCAAUGUUAACAUAAUCCAUUUUGUAAAAAUAUGAAACCUCCAUAUUACUACUAAAUUCAAGCCUAUUCAUGUAUUUAAUAAUGUACAUACUGCCCCGCAGGCCAUUCGCUGCUGCUACAACACGUUCAAUCCACC